UGCCAGCCGCCGCGGUAAUACUGAAGGUGCAAGCGUUAAUCGGAAUCACUGGGCGUAAAGCGCUCGUAGGUGGCUUUGUAAGUCAGAUGUGAAAGCCCACGGCUCAACCGUGGAAUUGCAUUUGAUACUGCAUCGCUAGAGUAUAGGAGAGGGAAGUGGAAUUUCUGGUGUAGGAGUGAAAUCCGUAGAGAUCAGAAGGAACACCAGUGGCGAAGGCGACUUGCUGGACUGUAACUGACGCUGAGGCUCGAAAGCGUGGGGAGCGAACAGGAUUAGAUA
rnacentral:rRNA from 1 species